CAACCUACCUAUCAGAGGGGAAUAACCCGGCGAAAGUCGGACUAAUACCGCAUAAAACAGGGGCACCGCAUGGUGAUAUUUGUUAAAGAAAUUCGCUGAUAGAUGGGCAUGCGUUCCAUUAGGUAGUUGGUGAGGUAACGGCUCACCAAGCCGACGAUGGAUAGGGGAACUGAGAGGUUGGUCCCCCACGCUGGUACUGAGACACGGACCAGACUCCUACGGGAGGCAGCAGUGAGGAAUAUUGGUCAAUGGGCGAGAGCCUGAACCAGCCAAGUCGCGUGAAGGAAGAAGGAUCUAUGGUUCGUAAACUUCUUUUGCAGGGGAAUAAAGUGCAGGACGUGUCCUGUUUUGUAUGUACCCUGAGAAUAAGGAUCGGCUAACUCCGUGCCAGCAGCCGCGGUAAUACGGAGGAUCCGAGCGUUAUCCGGAUUUAUUGGGUUUAAAGGGUGCGUAGGUGGUUUGAUAAGUCAGCGGUGAAAGUUUGCAGCUUAACUGUAAAAAUGCCGUUGAAACUGUCGGACUUGAGUGUAAAUGAGGUAGGCGGAAUGCGUGGUGUAGCGGUGAAAUGCAUAGAUAUCACGAAGAACUCCGAUUG
rnacentral:rRNA from 1 species